GGAGUUAGCCGGUGCUUCUUCUGUGAGUGAUGUCCUUCCUGCCGGCUAUUAACCCGCAGGCCUUCUUCCUCACUGAAAGUGCUUUACAACCCGAAGGCCUUCUUCACACACGCGGCAUGGCUGGAUCAGGGUUGCCCCCAUUGUCCAAUAUUCCCCACUGCUGCCUCCCGUAGGAGUCUGGGCCGUGUCUCAGUCCCAGUGUGGCUGAUCAUCCUCUCAGACCAGCUACGGAUCGUCGCCUUGGUGAGCCGUUACCUCACCAACCAGAUAAUCCGACAUAGGCUCAUCCGAUAGCGCGAGGCCCGAAGGUCCCCCGNUUUCCCCCGUAGGGCGUAUGCGGUAUUAGCCUGGGUUUCCCCAGGUUAUCCCCCACUACCGGGCAGAUUCCUAUGCAUUACUCACCCGUCCGCCGCUCGCCACCAGGGAGCAAGCUCCCCGUGCUGCCGCUCGACUUGCAUGUGUUAGCGUCGACGACAGCGUCAUCUGAGCAUGAUACAACUACUGA
rnacentral:rRNA from 1 species